GACGAACGCUGGCGGCGCGCUUAACACAUGCAAGUCGAACGGAAAGGCCUGCUUUCCCUUGUGGAUUGCGGGUACUCGAGUGGCGAACGGGUGAGUAACACGUGAGUGAUCUGCCCCCAACUUGGGUACAAGCCUGGGAAACUGGGUCUAAUUCCCGAUAGGACUGCAGGGUGGUGCCUGUGGUGGAAAACGAUUUUCUAGUGGUUGGGGAUGAGCUCGCGGCCUAUCAGCUUGUUGGUGGGGUAAUGGCCUACCAAGGCGGCGACGGGUAGCCGGCCUGAGAGGGUGGACGGCCACAUUGGGACUGAGAUACGGCCCAGACUCCUACGGGAGGCAGCAGUGGGGAAUAUUGCACAAUGGGCGGAAGCCUGAUGCAGCGACGCCGCGUGGGGGAUGACGGCCUUCGGGUUGUAAACUCCUUUCGACCGCGAGGAAGCCACCUGGUUGGAAGGGUGGUGACGGUAGUGGUAGAAGAAGCACCGGCUAACUACGUG
rnacentral:rRNA from 1 species